UUAUAUUCUGUUAGUUUCUAUUGCAUUUAUUAUUUAUUAGCAUAUAUAAAUUAUCACAGAUUGUUGACUUAUAUCCAACAGUACUAGCCUAAUUUGUAGGAGCCUACAUGACAUGAUUGUUUCAAUUAAAAAGAUCGAAUCCAGCAAUGUUUACAUUGGGGGUUAACCAAACCUUGGUGGCCAGAACGCCUAUCAGCAUCAUUAGCGGAAGAGGUCCCCAAAACAAAACAAAAAAAUUCUUAUUCACCUCAGCUCCUUCGUACAACUUCUUAUAAGCUCCAACCCUUCAUUCUUGAUCUCGUCUAACCGGCGCUCCCACCAGUUUUCUGCCACGCUCGCCUUCAUAACCUAGGUCAUGUGCUUGCCAAGCUUUCUUUCGAUAUUGGCCAACUCUAUCACCUUUAAUCAGCUCAACAUAGCGCUCACUCAGAUUCACAUUACGGUAAGCCUCGACAUGCAAUGUUGCGUAUCAAAACCCAUGAUCAGCUGGUUGUGUGAGGGUCUAAUCUGGAACAUAUCAAUGACCAUCUCAAAGCACGGGUGACCGAAGCAAAACA
rnacentral:lncRNA from 1 species